UAGGGAAUCUUCCACAAUGGACGCAUGUCUGAUGGAGCAACGCCGCGUGAGUGAAGAAGGUUUUCGGAUCGUAAAGCUCUGUUGUUGGUGAAGAAGGAUAGAGGCAGUAACUGGUCUUUAUUUGACGGUAAUCAACCAGAAAGUCACGGCUAACUACGUGCCAGCAGCCGCGGUAAUACGUAGGUGGCAAGCGUUGUCCGGAUUUAUUGGGCGUAAAGCGAGCGCAGGCGGAAUGAUAAGUCUGAUGUGAAAGCCCACGGCUCAACCGUGGAACUGCAUCGGAAACUGUCAUUCUUGAGUGCAGAAGAGGAGAGUGGAAUUCCAUGUGUAGCGGUGGAAUGCGUAGAUAUAUGGAAGAACACCAGUGGCGAAGGCGGCUCUCUGGUCUGCAACUGACGCUGAGGCUCGAAAGCAUGGGUAGCGAACAGG
rnacentral:rRNA from 1 species